rnacentral:rRNA from 1 species
GACGAACGCUGGCGGCGUGCUUAACACAUGCCAGUCGAACGGAAAGGCCCUGCUUGCGUGGGGUGCUCGAGUGGCGAACGGGUGAGUAACACGUGAGUAACCUGCCCUUGACUUUGGGAUAACUUCAGGAAACUGGGGUUAAUACCGUAUAGGAGCUCCUGCUGCAUGGUGGGGGGUGGAAAGUUUCGGCGGUCGGGGAUGGAUGGGCGGCUGAUGAGCUUGUUGGUGGGGUAGUGGUAUACCAAGGCUGUGACGGGUAGCCGGCCUGAGAGGGUGACCGGGCACAUUGGGCCUGAGGUACGGACCAGAGUGGUACGGGAGGCAGUAGUGGGGAGUAUUGCACAGUGGGCGGAAGCCUGAUGCAGAAACGCCGCGUGCGGGAUGACGGCCUGCGGGUUGUAAACCGCUUUCGCCUGUGACGAAGCGUGAGUGACGGUAAUGGGUAAAGAAGCACCGGCUAACUACGUG